rnacentral:rRNA from 1 species
UCCAGACUCCUACGGGAGGCAGCAGUGAGGAAUAUUGGUCAAUGGGCGAGAGCCUGAACCAGCCAAGUCGCGUGAGGGAGUACUGCCCUAUGGGUUGUAAACCUCUUUUGUCGGGGAGCAAAAGCCGGACGUGUCCGGCUGUGAGAGUGCCCGAAGAAAAAGCAUCGGCUAACUACGUGCCAGCAGCCGCGGUAAUACGUAGGUGGCAAGCGUUGUCCGGAUUUACUGGGUGUAAAGGGCGUGCAGCCGGGCUGACAAGUCAGAUGUGAAAUCCCGCGGCUCAACCGCGGAACUGCAUUUGAAACUGUCAGUCUUGAGUACCGGAGAGGUCAUCGGAAUUCCUUGUGUAGCGGUGAAAUGCGUAGAUAUAAGGAAGAACACCAGUGGCGAAGGCGGAUGACUGGACGGCAACUGACGGUGAGGCGCGAAAGCGUGGGGAGCAAACAGGAUUAGAUACCCCCGUAGCC